rnacentral:lncRNA from 1 species
UCAAAUUAUUAUACCUGCCAUCUAUUCUGAAGGCCCACUAACCUUUCCUAAAAAUCAUUUUAUCUCCUCUAAGAGGCCUGUAUUCCCACUUCCCUUUCCCUAUUCAGUUGGUAUUUCACUCUGAAUUCUAAACUACCUCAGGGACCUCCUCUUCUCCUGAGUAUCUCCCAUGUAUACAUGAAGUAUACAUGUUAAUAAACUUCUGUGUUUUUUUUCCUCGUUAAUCUGUCUUUUAUUACAAGGGUCUCAGCUAAGAACUCAGAAGGGUAGAGAGAACAUUUUUUCUCCUCCCCUACAACAACAAAACAAAACAAAAUAUUGAAAUACCAACGCAGGCUUUCAGCAUACUUCUCUGCCCCUGACUCCAGGUCUAAUGUGUGGCACAUUCUCCAGCAGGGGGCGCCUGUCUGCUGCCUCCAAAGGGCCAGCACAGAGCAGCCAAUGCCUGGCUCUACCAAGAUGAACUCUUAGGAUUCUACCUAGACACUCAAAGAUUCAAAUGUCUUUGGUGUAGGAUUGGGCUUGAGUGGCCAAGAGCUUCGAUGAGAAUGGAAACAAGUGUAUGGAAGUCUGAAGCCUGCAAAGCAGAUCGAGUUUCAAUCCCGGGUGGUGAGUCUUCAAAGGGAAAGAACUGGUCUGUAUAUAGUUUUCUUUUCACUCCCCAUUAAAAAAAAAUUUUUUUUUUUAACAUUUAUUUAUUUUUGAGACAGAGAGAGACAGAGCAUGAACGGGGGAGGGGCAGAGAGAGAAGGAGACACAGAAUUGGAAGCAGGCUCCAGGCUCUGAGCCAUCAGCCCAGAGCCGACGCGGGGCUCAAACGCUUAACCGACUGAGCCACCCAGGCGCCCCCACUCCCCAUUUUUAAAUACCCCAGAGUGACCCUGGGUCUUUUUCUUCUCCUUAUUUGACUCAAAUUGAGUCUUUAAAUAAACUAUGCUCCUCUUAGCAGCCUAAAACAUAUCUAGAGGAAAUGUGUCAUUGAAAGUGCUAUUUUGAAGUCAUGUGAUAAAUUAUCAGAGCCAGAAUCUCCUUACCCCCCUCUGAGCUCUAUGCCUUCUUUGGCUCCGUAAGAGAAUAACUUUCUUUUUUUCCCUCUCCUUCUCCUUUUGGCUUCUAAAACUGACACAGAGAAUAUGGCUUGCCCUGAGAAACUGCAUGCAGGUGGUGAGCACAUGGCAAGUGUUAGGCAGUUGUGUGUGUUGAAGUCAGUGUGGCAUGUGUGGGAAUGCAAGAAGUGACAGUAACUCCUUCAUGUGGGGAGUGGGGCUUAACAAUGGUAAUCAAGGGAGCUUUGGGGAAGAGGG